UAACCUGCCUGGUAGCGGGGGGUAACUAUUGGAAACGAUAGCUAAUACCGCAUAAUAGUAGAUGUUGCAUGACAUUUGCUUAAAAGGUGCAAUUGCAUCACUACCAGAUGGACCUGCGUUGUAUUAGCUAGUUGGUGAGGUAACGGCUCACCAAGGCGACGAUACAUAGCCGACCUGAGAGGGUGAUCGGCCACACUGGGACUGAGACACGGCCCAG
rnacentral:rRNA from 1 species